CCGAAAAAAAACCUACGAAAAAAACCCAGCGAUCGCUCGCUGCUCCAUCCCUCGCCCCCGCCGCUCGAGCGAGAACCACCGAGGCUCAACUCGACUCCCCUCGAUCUGUUUGCCCCAGCCGCCAUAGCAGAGCACUUCGCUGCCGCCAAGAUGCGAGGGGAGCCGCCGCCGCCGAGGUCCGAGAGGAGCCGCCGCGAUCCUCCUCUGCACACAUCAUCGCCUGCGACGCUGCAUAACCACGAUCUCCACUGGCGCCGCGAUGGCUGUGCCCUCCACCCAUAUCCGUCCGCCAUUGGCCCUGUAUUGUCCCUCCCGAUAGGAUCCAGCCUCCACCACUGAGCACGGUGCAACGGGAUCCACCACGGACGAGGGAAAGGCGCUCGCGGGCAUCGUGAUGUGGUCGUCACGUGGCGCGGCACGAUCCAGGCUCUGGAAUGGGUCGACGAUCUUGAGUUCGCCAUAGUGCCGUCCAGAGGCCCCCUUUGUGAGGCCGCCUGCGCAGACGCUUGGUGCACCGCGGCUGGAUCUCCAUCGCCACCAACAACAGGGAUAACGCCAGAGACCAGGCACGGGAUGUGCUGGACAUUGUUCAGUGCCAGGAGGUGAGCAUCACCAUGACAAGGCAUAGCCUUGGGGCAGCGUUGAACGCAUUCGACAUCACUGAGAAUGACUACAGUUGCACGACCGCCGCAGCGCGUUCACUUUUGCCCUGUGCGGCGGCAGCACCGGCUCCAAGAAGCGGUUUAACGCUGCCACGGCCACCGGCCUCUGUGUUCUGUCGCAUCCGCAACGCUCGAGACAUUGUCCGCAACGUUGAUGAAGGUUUGAGGAGUCCUCCUAGAGUUUGAGAAAUUUUAAUGAGAAUUGGUUUGACAGAAACGGGAGGAGGGGCCAUUAGGACAAUUUUUACGUAGAAGAGAUCUCGGGCAGACUGGAACCUAUGGACCAAAACUAUGUGUGGUUUCCUGCUGAUAAAUGUGUUGAAAUAUGUGUGGUUUCUUACACAAAUGGAAGUUAUCAAGCAUGUUCUUUAUGCAACAAAAAUUUACUCCAUCUGUAAAGAUAUAUAAGAGCAUUUAGAUCACUACUUUAGUGAUAUAAAUGCUCUUAUAUUUGUUACGGAGGGAGUAGCAGAUAUAUUUGACUAGAUGUGCCAAACUGUUGUGUCAUCCACUUCACAAAUUAGAGGUCGAUAUGCAGUGGAAGCUUUUGCAGGUCAUUUUCAAAUGCUACUACUGUGAUGCAUAAAUUCAGUGCCACUUCUCAAGCUACUAGACCUAGAAGAAACACAAUGAGGCAGUGCAGCGAUGAUUAUCUAGCCCUCCAAGCUGGAUGCAGCAAGGUUACUCGUGAUCAAAACCAUUGAUGUCAGUUCAAAAACCGGUUCUGAUGCCAAUUGGCUUGAGGAAAUCAGCCAAGAUGCUUUGAAGAAAUUGCACGCUUUCUAUCAGUUCUGCAGACCACACACAAUCUUUGGCACUCUGGGCGAUUUUCAGUAGCAACUGGAGUACUCUUAGUGGUCACAUUCCUGAUCAUGAGCUUUAACAUUGGAUCUGUUUCGGAUCGGUGCCACUGACGUGUGCUUUAAUUAUCAGCUUCCUUCUUGGAAGUGUUCCAUUGAGGCUCCGAUGCUCCGGUGGGAACGACACACACUCCUCGCUGCAUCUUGUAUCCUAUUUGUGAGGGCUAUCAUGGUCCAAUUACCUUUCUUUGCACAUAUGCAGGCACUCGGCACAGUACACAUCUUCAGUAGCACUAGAAAUUCAUACUUAUUUACUUGGCUUCCUUCGUCAGUGUUUGAUGAUUCAUUUUGCAGCGACAUGUUCUGAAAAGGCCCUUGGCAGCAACAAAAUGACAGGUGUUUGCAACAUUGUCCAUGUGUUGGUUCUCUGCCGUCAUAGCUAUAUUCAACGUGUAUCAGCUUUGCAGUGGAGCAUGUUGUUCGCCGUGGGUCGAACUGAGGCCAAGACUGAUGAGUUGAAGGCGAGAACAAACUACUACUCUACCCAGCAACUUAUACAGAGAUGUGGUCUUGACCCUGCUCAAGCUCAUCCACACCGCUGUCACUAUAGCUGCUUCUGUGAGUCUCUUGUCAUCUUCUUCGCCGCUGGCUUGGUCACCACAUUCGCUUCCCACAGCUGUGGAUGACGACAAGGAGGUGGUGGGUGACAUGGGCAAAUAGUGCUUGGAUGUCCAUGUUGCUUGUCUGCGUGUCUGCAUAGAGAAUUUUCUGUUGUUUGAUUUGGUUUUACUGGAACAAGGAGUGGUGCUGCCCAAGCUCCCCAUUACCCGUUGUAUUGAGUUAAUUGCCGUUGAGGUGCGGACUUGCCAUUUAUUGUGAUUUUAUCAUUCCUCCUUAUUUUAAAUUUUUUUUCCACAAGAUAGUUCUUGUUCAUAGAGAUGCUUUGCAUGGAUUGUUUAAAAAACAAAGAACGUGACAAGUUUGUGCUUUGAAAA